CCUACGGGAGGCAGCAGUGGGGAAUAUUGCACAAUGGGCGCAAGCCUGAUGCAGCGACGCCGCGUGAGCGAUGAAGGCCUUCGGGUCGUAAAGCUCUGUCCUAAGGGAAGAAUAAUGACGGUACCUUAGGAGGAAGCCCCGGCUAACUACGUGCCAGCAGCCGCGGUAAUACGUAGGGGGCGAGCGUUGUCCGGAAUUACUGGGCGUAAAGUGCGUGUAGGCGGCUAGGUAAGUCAGGUGUGAAAACUCUGGGAUCAACCCAGAGACUGCACCUGAAACGGCAUAGCUUGAGGGCAGGAGAGGAAAGUGGAAUGCCUGGUGUGGCGGUGAAAUGCGUAGAUAUUAGGAGGAACACCAGUGGCGAAGGCGACUUUCUGGCCUGACCCUGACGCUGAGGCGCGAAAGCGUGGGGAGCAAACAGGAUUAGAUACCCUAGUAGUC
rnacentral:rRNA from 1 species